rnacentral:rRNA from 1 species
GACGAACGCUGGCGGCGUGCUUAACACAUGCAAGUCGAACGGAAAGGCCCCAGCUUGCUGGGGGUACUCGAGUGGCGAACGGGUGAGUAACACGUGGGUGAUCUGCCCUGCACUUCGGGAUAAGCCUGGGAAACUGGGUCUAAUACCGGAUAGGAGCCAUCUUUGGUGUGAUGGUUGGAAAGUUUUUCGGUGUAGGAUGAGCCUGCGGCCUAUCAGCUUGUUGGUGGGGUAAUGGCCUACCAAGGCGACGAUCAGUAGCCGGACUGAGAGGUUGAACGGCCACAUUGGGACUGAGAUACGGCCCAG